rnacentral:rRNA from 1 species
AGAGUUUGAUCCUGGCUCAGGAUGAACGCUGGCGGCGUGCUUAACACAUGCAAGUCGAACGGGAAAUAUUUCAUUGAGACUUCGGUGGAUUUGAUCUAUUUCUAGUGGCGGACGGGUGAGUAACGCGUGGGUAACCUGCCUCACACAGGGGGAUAGCAGUUGGAAACGACUGGUAAUACCGCAUAAGCGCACAGCUUCGCAUGAAGCGGUGUGAAAAACUCCGGUGGUGUGAGAUGGACCCGCGUCUGAUUAGGUAGUUGGUGAGGUAACGGCCCACCAAGCCGACGAUCAGUAGCCGACCUGAGAGGGUGACCGGCCACAUUGGGACUGAGACACGGCCCAGACUCCUACGGGAGGCAGCAGUGGGGAAUAUUGCACAAUGGAGGAAACUCUGAUGCAGCGACGCCGCGUGAGUGAAGAAGUAUUUCGGUAUGUAAAGCUCUAUCAGCAGGGAAGACAGUGACGGUACCUGACUAAGAAGCUCCGGCUAAAUACGUGCCAGCAGCCGCGGUAAUACGUAUGGAGCAAGCGUUAUCCGGAUUUACUGGGUGUAAAGGGAGUGUAGGUGGUAUCACAAGUCAGAAGUGAAAGCCCGGGGCUCAACCCCGGGACUGCUUUUGAAACUGUGGAACUGGAGUGCAGGAGAGGUAAGUGGAAUUCCUAGUGUAGCGGUGAAAUGCGUAGAUAUUAGGAGGAACACCAGUGGCGAAGGCGGCUUACUGGACGAUAACUGACGCUGAGGCUCGAAAGCGUGGGGAGCAAACAGGAUUAGAUACCCUGGUAGUCCACGCUGUAAACGAUG